GAUGAAGAACGUAGCUAAAUGCGAUACUUGGUGUGAAUUGCAGAACCCCGUGAACCAUCGAGUCUUUGAACGCAAGUUGCGCCCGAAGCCAUUAGGCCGAGGGCACGCCUGCCUGGGCGUCACACGUCGUUGCCCCCCCAUCUACUCCUUCGGGAUUGCGGGGGGCGGAUGAUGGCCUCCCGUGCGCCUCGUCGCGCGGUUGGCAUAAAUGCCAAGUCCUCGGCGACGCACGCCACGACAAUCGGUGGUUGCGAAACCUCGGUUGCCCGUCGUGUGCGGUCGUCGCGCAUCGAGGGCUCGAAAAAAUUGCCGGGCUCCGGCUCGGCUUUCAACGCGACCCCAGGUCAGGCGGGGUUACCCGCUGAAUUUAAGCAUAUCAAUAAGCGGAGGA
rnacentral:misc_RNA from 1 species